UAUUUUUUCCAGAGUUAAUAUUUUUUUCCUCCAAAAGAGUUGUUUUUGCUCCGUUUUGAGUAAACAAAGUAAAAUGUGUCAGUAGAGUGGGAGCAAAAUUACAGAGUAACUGUAACAGAGUAAAAUUUUUCCCUCCUAAUUUCUGUUUAUCUGCCAUUGCUGUAUAUAAUGUUAAAACAGAGUAACAAUAAAGAUUAAUGACACGCCUGCAUAUACUUCUUUUGUAAAAAAAUAAAUAAACAACUUCUCAAAAAAUAGCAUUUUAUAACUAAUCUAAAUUAAACUAAUUACAAAAAUGAACACUUAAAAGUACGUAAACAUAAUAAAUAACUAAAAGAACAGAAACCAUCUUUGGGGAUAAUAUCUGUAUAUAAGUGUACUUAGAUUUUUAAGUUUGGUUCACGUAGCAUUCGAUUACAUAGAGUUUGCGGGCUUUAUGACCUACACGGCACCCCGCCACCAGAGGGCGAUAGAAAUAUUGGCUUCACUCACUGUGACUCCCUUUGGUAACGGCCAUAUCGAUCACUGCUGGUUAAGAAGACAAGCUGCUUUCUGCUGGAUGGUGAAGUAAGUGAAUUUUCUAAAUCUUAGUAUUAAUUUCCAGAAUAUUAGCCUCUGUUUUGAUCUUAGUCAUUUUGCCACGUUUUUUAAUAUUACAGAGUUAACUUUCUCACGUGAGAACUAACUUAGUCUAUAAUUUAAAACUUACAGGUUAUAUAAACCAACAGCUUUGUCAAAGUAAAGUGAAGUUAAACUGACGAGCGUCUGGAGUUGGGCACCACAUGUACGUGACUCGGAUGCAAACCAACAAUGUUGUCAGAGUAAAGUUCAAAGACAGCAAGAAAUAUAUUUUCUCUUUACAACCAUUUCACACAUUUUUUGAAUGUGUUGCCAAGAAGUUUAAUCUUCCUACAAUGAAUGUCUUUGAUGACAUAAAGACAGAGGUUGAUGAGGAAUAAUAUCUGCUGACAUGACCAGACUUUGGUGUCCUAGAAAUCUUCAUCCCAGAAAGCACAACAAGCCUUGAUGGGCACGUCAGAGUCUGAUGGGACCGCAGUGCUGAUUAGAAAUCCUCCUGAAAAAAAUCAAGCCGAGGAAUGUCAUCUAGUCCAGAUGAUUGAAAAUAUCCUAAAGGGCAGCCCUGGAGGCGAGAAGGUCAUAAAGGAAUACGCUCAAACAAAGUCUUUCGGAUGGCCAAAGACGUGACAUGGUGAAAAUCUUGGUAGCACAUUUAACAACGGAACAUGGAACUUGCCCUUACCUAAAGUUGAAGGAAGAAUGUGCAAAGGAUAUUAUCUCCAUAUUCCCAUGCUUUGCUGACCCCAGGAGCAAGCUUAGUUAUGAGCAUUAUUACAAUGCAGAAGAUAGAAGUGGAUAUUUGGUGUGGAGAAUUAAAACUUUCCAAAAAGAAGCAUCAGAGGGACGGAUAAAACGCCCACGGCAACCACAAACAGGUGCAUGAUUUGCAGAUUGAUCAAUAUUUUGGACUUCUAUUUGGUGAGGCGACCGCUGCAAAGUUGUUGGAGAAGUGGUCUACCAACAUAAAACCUAAGGUUAUUGCACAGACCCGUGGCCUCAAACAGACUUGUAAGCAUCCAAAAUGCUGAAGCCACUGAAGUUGAAGAUGGUAACUAUUGUGCUUUACAAGUUAUGAAUUCAUGAAGAAUGGCUUUAGAUCUAUAGUUUCAAUUGUAUUCACAAUGUUACCCAUCAGACAUGCAUUAUUCGUAUGCAGCACAGAUUUAAGUAAAUAAUCAGAAUAAAAAUUACCGCUUUCUCUUAACAUUUCUACCUUGACCUUAGUGAUGUUGAAAUGAGGUCAUACAGUUAAACAUUAUUUACUACAUUUAAUCCAUGCUUUUGUUAUUUAGAGUCCCAAAUGAAAACAGUUUUAAACUGUAAAUCUUCAACUCACGUACUAGGCCCUUGUGAAAACCCAUCUGAAAGCGCUCUAUUUUUACACA